UACGUAGGGUGCAAGCGUUAUCCGGAAUGAUUGGGCGUAAAGCGUCCGCAGGUGGCUGUGUAAGUCUGCUGUCAAAGAGCAAAGCUCAACUUUGUAAAGGCAGUGGAAACUACACGGCUAGAGUGCGUUCGGGGCAGAGGGAAUUCCUGGUGUAGCGGUGAAAUGCGUAGAGAUCCGGAGGAACGCCGGUGGCGAAAGCGGCCACCUGGGUCUGACCUGACGCUGAGGUGCGAAAGCGUGGGGAGCAAACGGG
rnacentral:rRNA from 1 species